CGCGUACGAUGAGUGCUAGUGUUGGAGGGUUUCCGCCCUUCAGUGCUGCAGCAAACGCAUUAAGCACUCCGCCUGGGGAGUACGACCGCAAGGUUGAAACUCAAAGGAAUUGACGGGGGCCCGCACAAGCGGUGGAGCAUGUGGUUUAAUUCGAAGCAACGCGAAGAACCUUACCAGGUCUUGACAUCCUUUGACCACUCUAGAGAUAGAGCUUUCCCUUCGGGGACAAAGUGACAGGUGGUGCAUGGUUGUCGUCAGCUCGUGUCGUGAGAUGUUGGGUUAAGUCCCGCAACGAGCGCAACCCUUAUUGUUAGUUGCCAUCAUUUAGUUGGGCACUCUAGCGAGACUGCCGGUGACAAACCGGAGGAAGGUGGGGAUGACGUCAAAUCAUCAUGCCCCUUAUGACCUGGGCUACACACGUGCUACAAUGGGAAGUACAACGAGUCGCUAGACCGCGAGGUCAUGCAAAUCUCUUAAAGCUUCUCUCAGUUCGGAUUGCAGGCUGCAACUCGCCUGCAUGAAGCCGGAAUCGCUAGUAAUCGCGGAUCAGCACGCCGCGGUGAAUACGUUCCCGGGCCUUGUACACACCGCCCGUCACACCACGAGAGUUUGUAACACCCGAAGUCGGUGAGGUAACCUUUUUGGAGCCAGCCGCCUAAGGUGGGAUAGAUGAUUGGGGUGAAGUCGUAACAAGGUAACCGACA
rnacentral:rRNA from 1 species